CAAAGUUAUAAAAGAAAUGGACGUUUAGGCUUCGGGUCCGCCGGGAGGGUCGAGGCGACGUCGUAAAAUCGUGGAAAUUUAUUUGAGGCAUCGUGGCAUAUAACCGAAGACCUAUAAUUUUCGGGGCUGCGAAGCGGAGCACGGUUGAGGCGCAGUUGCAGUAUCGGGCCGUGCCGGAUACGGGUGCCGCGGGCGGCCGAUUGCAAGUGUCGACAAGCAAUCGGAAUGCGAAAUGAGGUGGGUUGUGCUUACCGAAGCGACUAGGUCGCCCUUUAUGUCUAAGAAAUGAGAUUUCAUAUUGAUGCAUAU
rnacentral:lncRNA from 1 species